ACACGCUACGAGUUUGAUCAUGGCUCAGGAUGAACGCUAGCGGCAGGCCUAAUAUAUGCAAGUCGAACGGAUAUAUGUUUUUCGGAAUAUAUAUUAGUGGCGCACGGGUGAGUAACACGUACAUAACUUGCCCUCAAGCGGGGGAUAGCCUUGGGAAACUGAGAGUAAUACCCCAUAGAAUUAUUGGACGGCAUCGUUUGAUAAUUAAAACUACGGUGUUUGGGGAUAGAUGUGCGUCUGAUUAGCUAGUUGGUGAGGUAACUGCUCACCAAGGCGACGAUCAGUAGGGGGCGUGAGAGCGUGGCCCCCCACACGGGUACUGAGACACGGACCCGACUCCUACGGGAGGCAGCAGUAAGGAAUAUUGGUCAAUGGAGGGAACUCUGAACCAGCCAUGCCGCGUGAAGGAUGACGGCCCUCUGGGUUGUAAACUUCUUUUGGAUGGGGCGAAAAAACGGGAUUUAUCCUGGACUGACGGUACCAUCAGAAUAAGCACCGGCUAACUCCGUG
rnacentral:rRNA from 1 species